AAUGCUUUGCUGAAGCUGGUAAAAUGGAACCAAAUCAGCUGUUGGAUGGAUUUGGUCCCCUUCAACCAGCUGUAGCUGCGCAUUGAU
rnacentral:pre_miRNA from 7 species